rnacentral:rRNA from 1 species
AACGAACGCUGGCGGCAGGCUUAACACAUGCAAGUCGAGCGCUGUAGCAAUACAGAGCGGCAGACGGGUGAGUAACGCGUGGGAAUCUACCCAUCUCUACGGAAUAACUCAGGGAAACUUGUGCUAAUACCGUAUACGCCCUUAGGGGAAAGAUUUAUCGGAGAUGGAUGAGCCCGCGUUGGAUUAGCUAGUUGGUGGGUAAAGGCCUACCAAGGCGACGAUCCAUAGCUGGUCUGAGAGGAUGAUCAGCCACAUUGGGACUGAGACACGGCCCAAACUCCUACGGAGGCAGCAGUGGGAAUAUGGACAAUGGGCGC